AUAUAACAUUCAUAAUUCCAUGGUGUUCAACUUUUGGAGAGAGAAAAAGAGAGAGAAAAAUUUUGUUUUUCUUGAUUUUUCAAUUGUCCAGUUCAAGAAUUGGUUUUCUUGAUUUAAUUAAAAGAAGGUGCCCACCCACCGGUGUAGUCUUGACUUUGGAGAAUACCAUAGAAGACUUGGAGGUUGGAAGCAUCAAGUUCUUGAAAUUAGAAAGCUGGAAGUUCGUGAUCCAAAAGGCUGGAAGUUCGUGAUUCAGAAUUAAUUCAAGAAUUGAUCGUCGAAUUUAGGCAAAAAUUUGAAUUCAUUAUUUUUGAUAUAAUAUGCACGUGAACAUUUAGAAGAUCUUGUUUUUGAAUUAAAGAAAUUUUUUAAUUUCUGACUAAUUCCGCUUCCGCAUUCCAACAACAAUUUAUAAGUCAACCAAUCAAUUUUUGCCACAUAUCAUCAAUAGAAAAAGACCUAUUUGUCCCAAGGCCUAAUAAAAAAUCUACACAUAAGAAUAGCUGGGGGUGAGAAAAGGCAUGCAAAAAUUCAGUAACUUCCUUCCAACAAAAUCAUUUCUCCUCUUGCUCUUGCUUGAGCAUGCGAUCAGAGAGUUUAGAAAGGGAAAAUCUUGGUUAUUUGAGGAGAAUUUGUUGAUCAAUAUAUUCACGUUGCUGAUCAACUUGUGGACUCCCUGACAAAACCAUUAUCUGACCAGAAGUUCCUUCAGCCUACUUGACGGAAGGUCAAUCUUGCAGGAUGAUAGAAAUGAAUCUUUAGAAUUGAUUAACUGAAUAAUCUUUGUAGUUUAUUUCCGUCUUUUACAUAUAUUCUUUUCCUCUUUUAUGGCUGCAAUCAUGGGAUCUUCCAAUGAUCACUGCAUUGUAAAGUCUGUAUAUUGUAAUCCUCUUCCGUGCCAUAUAUAAAUCUGUUGGUUAGAUGAUGAAAUCAGUAUUAGUAUAUUGACG
rnacentral:lncRNA from 1 species